GAUGAACGCCGGCGGUGUGCCUAAUACAUGCAAGUCGAGCGCACUGGCCCAACUGAUAUGACGUGCUUGCACAGAUUUGACGAUGGAUUACCAGUGAGCGGCGGACGGGUGAGUAACACGUGGGCAACCUGCCCUGGAGCGGGGGAUAACAUUUGGAAACAGAUGCUAAUACCGCAUAACAAUCAAAACCACAUGGUUUUGAUUUCAAAGAUGGUUUCGGCUAUCACUCCAGGAUGGGCCCGCGGUGCAUUAGCUAGUUGGUAAGGUAACGGCUUACCAAGGCGAUGAUGCAUAGCCGAGUUGAGAGACUGAUCGGCCACAAUGGAACUGAGACACGGUCCAUACUCCUACGGGAGGCAGCAGUAGGGAAUCUUCCACAAUGGGCGCAAGCCUGAUGGAGCAACACCGCGUGAGUGAAGAAGGGUUUCGGCUCGUAAAACUCUGUUGUUGAAGAAGAACGUGCGUGAGAGUAACUGUUCACGCAGUGACGGUAUUCAACCAGAAAGUCACGGCUAACUACGUGCCAGCAGCCGCGGUAAUACGUAGGUGGCAAGCGUUAUCCGGAUUUAUUGGGCGUAAAGCGAGCGCAGGCGGUUACUUAAGUCUGAUGUGAAAGCCUUCGGCUUAACCGAAGAAGUGCAUCGGGAACUGGGCGACUUGAGUGCAGAAGAGGACAGUGGAACUCCAUGUGUAGCGGUGGAAUGCGUAGAUAUAUGGAAGAACACCAGUGGCGAAGGCGGCUGUCUGGUCUGCAACUGACGCUGAGGCUCGAAAGCAUGGGUAGCGAACAGG
rnacentral:rRNA from 1 species